rnacentral:rRNA from 1 species
GAUGAACGCUGGCGGCGUGCCUAAUACAUGCAAGUCGAGCGAACAGACGAGGAGCUUGCUCCUUCGACGUUAGCGGCGGACGGGCGAGUAACACGUAGGUAACCUACCUAUAAGACUGGGAUAACUUCGGGAAACCGGCGCUAAUACCGGAUAAUAUUUCGAACCGCAUGGUUCGAUAGUGAAAGAUGGCUUUGCUAUCACUUAUAGAUGGAUCUGCGCCGUUUUAGCUAGUUGGUAAGGUAACGGCUUACCAAGGCAACGAUACGUAGCCGACCUGAUCGGGUGAUCGGACCCACUGGAACUGAGACACGGUCCAGACGCCUACGGGAGGCAGCAGUAGGGAAUCUUCCGCAAUGGGCGAAAGCCUGACGGAGCAACGCCGCGUGAGUGAUGAAGGUCUUCGGAUCGUAAAACUCUGUUAUUAGGGAAGAACAAACGUGUAAGUAACUGUGCACGUCUUGACGGUACCUAAUCAGAAAGCCACGGCUAACUACGUG